rnacentral:rRNA from 1 species
GUCGAGCGGUAACAUUUCAAGUUUACUUGAAGAUGACGAGCGGCGGACGGGUGAGUAAUGCUUGGGAAUAUGCCUUUACGUGGGGGACAACAGUUGGAAACGACUGCUAAUACCGCAUAAUGUCUUCGGACCAAAGGAGGGGACUCUUCGGAGCCUUUCGCGUAAAGAUUAGCCCAAGUGGGAUUAGCUAGUUGGUGGGGUAAUGGCUCACCAAGGCGACGAUCCCUAGCUGGUUUGAGAGGAUGAUCAGCCACACUGGGACUGAGACACGGCCCAGACUCCUACGGGAGGCAGCAGUGGGGAAUAUUGCACAAUGGGCGAAAGCCUGAUGCAGCCAUGCCGCGUGUGUGAAGAAGGCCUUCGGGUUGUAAAGCACUUUCAGUCGUGAGGAAGGGGUAUAGCUUAAUACGUUAUAUCUUUGACGUUAGCGACAGAAGAAGGACCGGCUAACUCCGUGCCAGCAGCCGCGGUAAUACGGAGGGUCCGAGCGUUAAUCGGAAUUACUGGGCGUAAAGCGUACGCAGGCGGCUUGUUAAGCCAGAUGUGAAAUCCCCGGGCUCAACCUGGGAAUGGCAUUUGGAACUGGCAAGCUAGAGUUUUGUAGAGGGUGGUAGAAUUUCAGGUGUAGCGGUGAAAUGCGUAGAGAUCUGAAGGAAUACCAGUGGCGAAGGCGGCCACCUGGACAAAAACUGACGCUCAUGUACGAAAGCGUGGGGAGCAAACAGGAUUAGAUACCCUGGUAGUCCACGCCGUAAACGAUGUCUACUAGUUGUCUGUGAGUUUAACUCGUGGGUAACGCAGCUAACGCAUUAAGUAGACCGCCUGGGGAGUACGGCCGCAAGGUUAAAACUCAAAUGAAUUGACGGGGGCCCGCACAAGCGGUGGAGCAUGUGGUUUAAUUCGAUGCAACGCGAA